UGGCGAACGGGUGAGUAACACGUGAGCAAUCUGCCCUUGACUCUGGGAUAACUGCGGGAAACUGUAGCUAAUACCGGAUACGACCUGAAGAGGCAUCUUUUUGGGUGGAAAGAAUUUUGGUCAAGGAUGAGCUCGCGGCCUAUCAGCUUGUUGGUGAGGUAAUGGCUCACCAAGGCGACGACGGGUAGCCGGCCUGAGAGGGUGACCGGCCACACUGGGACUGAGACACGGCCCAGACUCCUACGGGAGGCAGCAGUGGGGAAUAUUGCACAAUGGGCGCAAGCCUGAUGCAGCAACGCCGCGUGAGGGACGAAGGCCUUCGGGUUGUAAACCUCUUUUAGUAGGGAAGAAGCGACUGGGUUUUCCUGGGAGUGACGGUACCUGCAGAAAAAGCACCGGCUAACUACGUGCCAGCAGCCGCGGUAAUACGUAGGGUGCAAGCGUUGUCCGGAAUUAUUGGGCGUAAAGAGCUCGUAGGCGGUUUGUCGCGUCUGCUGUGAAAACCCGAGGCUCAACCUCGGGCCUGCAGUGGGUAC
rnacentral:rRNA from 1 species